rnacentral:rRNA from 1 species
UACGUAGGCAGCAAGCGUUGUUCGGAGUUACUGGGCGUAAAGGGUGUGUAGGCGGUUGCUUAAGUUUGGUGUGAAAUCUCCUGGCUCAACUGGGAGGGUGCGCCGGAAACUGGAGUGCUUGAGCGUGGGAGAGGAAAGCGGAAUUCCUGGUGUAGCGGUGAAAUGCGUAGAUAUCAGGAGGAACACCUGUGGUGUAGACGGCUUUCUGGACCAUAGCUGACGCUGAGACACGAAAGCGUGGGUAGCAAACAGG